GAUGAACGCUGGCGGCAUGCCUAAUACAUGCAAGUCGAGCGAACCGACGGGGAGCUUGCUCCUCUGACGUUAUCGGCGGACGGGUGAUUAACACGUGGAUAGCCUACCUAUCAGACUGGGAUAACUUCGGGAAACCGUGUCUAAUACCGGAUGAUAUAUUGCCCCUCAUGGUUCAAUAGUUGAAGACGGUUUUUCUUUCGCUUAUAGCUUACUCCGCGCCGCAUUAGCUAGUGGGUAAGGUAACGGCUUAGCAAGGCAGCGAUGCGGAGCCGACCUGAGAGGGAGAUCGGAUAGACUGGAACUGAGACACGGUACAGACUCCUACGGGAGGAAGCAGUCGGGAAUCUUACGCGAUGGGCGAAAGCCUGACGGAGCAAAGUCGCGUGAGUGCUGAAGGUGUUCGGCUCGUAAAACUAUGUUAGUAGGGAAGAACAAAUGUGCAAGUAACUAUGAACGUAUUGACGGUACCUAAUCAGAAAGCUACGGCUAACUCAGUG
rnacentral:rRNA from 1 species